UACGAAGGUCCCAAGCGUUAUCCGGAUUUAUUGGGUUUAAAGGGCGCGUAGGCGGCCAGCACAAGUCAGUUGUGAAAUCUCCGAGCUUAACUCGGAAAGGUCAACUGAUACUGUGCGACUAGAGUGCGGAAGGGGCAACUGGAAUUCUCGGUGUAGCGGUGAAAUGCGUAGAUAUCGAGAGGAACACCGGUGGCGAAGGCGGGUCUCUGGGCCGAUACUGACGCUGAGGAGCGAAAGCGUGGGGGAGCGAACAGG
rnacentral:rRNA from 1 species